UUUCAGGUAAAUGAGUGGAGCUAGAAACAAUCAUUCCAAUUAAGCUGCAAGUGUCCUUUCUAAAGCCCAAGGGAAGGCAGACAGUGGAUAUGAAUAAAGAACUUCUAAGAAGACAGCUUGGCAGCCUCAUGAAGAACUGAGCACUCUGAACACUGAGCCCAUCGUGCUGGAGAACCAGGGCUCAUGCAAAGUGAUUAGAAUUAAUAUGUGCAAUGAACAUAAAGUCAUUGUAUGCCAUGGUGGGCAACAAGAGAGGUGGCUUUUUACUCUAUAGCCACAGCUCACACUUAUGUCUGAUAAUGUUCCUGAAAAAGUAAGUCACUUCCUGGUAAUUCUGGACAAUACAACAAGGAACAUGAUGUUCUGUCUAGUGAAUUGUGGCUUCUACUAUGAAUGUUUUUCCCAUCUCGGUUUCCUGACACAACACUGCUAUCUUGAUCAACAAUAAGGAAUUCUUUCAAUUUGAAGAGGAUCGGUGUGUGCUUGCCUCCUGCUGGUGUUCUCUCAUAGGUCUUCCAGGUUGACUUGAGGACCUUGUGUGCCUAGAACAUUUCUGCCCAAGGCAUUUGGAAGGUCAGCAUAGAAAUACUAUUAUCUUCAUUUAUAGCUUCUGAUGAUAACCCAGGCUCUGGAGAACAACUGUAGCCUCCUGAAAACUAUCUCAACUUGAAGACCAAUGGACCAAGACACCUAUAGCUUAGGAGCUGUUUCAUUGUGUGGUGCUAUGGGCAACAGCAACUGUCAUUAAUUGCUACUUGAAGCUAAAGACU
rnacentral:lncRNA from 1 species